GUGAUGUGUGAAAGGAGAGAAGGUUAGCACUCUCUUUGCUUCACAAGGAUGGAAGAGGCUCUUGGUCCUGACAACACAUGUAUGGGUAAGGCAUUGCCACCUACUCUGUGGCAUCUAACCAUCAUUUUUA
rnacentral:ncRNA from 1 species